GUUACAAUUGAGAUGACAAAGUCGAUAGUCCAACAUAAAAUGUUUUGGAGUCUGUUAUUAAAGGGAUUUCUAUUCUUAAUGAUGCAGAUAGCAAUUGCCUAUCCAAAACAUGAACAUCACAGUUCUCACACAGUAUCAGGAGGUGGAGGCCAUUACUAUUAUGGAUUUGGAGGUUAAGCACAACCAGUUCCUUUACUGAAUAAAAGUGGUGUUUAUAGAUAUUAAUUCCAUUAAUAACUGAAAAUUGUCUAUCCGGAGUGUUCUAGAAAUGUAAACGAACAAAAAAUCAACCAAAAGUUUAUGGGUUUUUAGUUGGUUUAUAUUUUCGAAACAUACUGGUAUAAGACAAUAAUAAAUUUGAAAAAAAAAACAGAAAUUAUUCAUUUAUAUCAAGUAUGAAAAUAUCAUUGGCAAGUGUAUAUGGAACUGUAUGUGUAUAUUAAAAUGAAGUUAACAACAAAUGCAAAAUUUUGUGCUGUUCAGAAUUUAUGCCAUGACAUUUUCAGUGCCUUAUCAUUUGCCCGUGGAGAACCCGCAUUUGUCCGCGACUUAAAUAUAUAGUUUACAUUUGAA